rnacentral:rRNA from 1 species
AUUGAACGCUGGCGGCAGGCUUAACACAUGCAAGUCGAGCGGGGACUUCGGUCCUAGCGGCGAACGGGUGAGGAAUGCUUGGGAAUCUGCCCAGUAGCGGGGGAUAACGUUUCGAAAGGAACGCUAAUACCGCAUACGCCCUACGGGGGAAAGGGGGUGAUGUUCGGAACUCUCACACUUGGAUGAGCCCAAGUCGGAUUAGCUAGGUGGUGGGGUAGAGGCCGACCAAGGCGACGAUCCGUAGCGGGUCUGAGAGGAUGAUCAGCCACACUGGAACUGAGACACGGGCCAGACUCAUACGGGAGGCAGCAGUGGGGAAUAUUGGACAAGGGGCGAAAGCCUGAUCCAGCCAUGCCGCGUGUGUGAAGAAGGCCUUCGGGUUGUAAAGCACUUUAAGCGAGGAGGAAGGGCUCUUGGUUAAUAACCUUGAGCAGUGACGUUACUCGCAGAAUAAGCACCGGCUAACUCUGUGCCAGCAGCCGCCGUAAAAC